AUUGAACGCUGGCGGCAGGCCUAACACAUGCAAGUCGAACGGUAGCACAGAGAGCUUGCUCUCGGGUGACGAGGCGCGGACGGGUGAGUAAUGUCUGGGAAACUGCCCGAUGGAGGGGGAUAACUACUGGAAACGGUAGCUAAUACCGCAUAACGUCGCAAGACCAAAGUGGGGGACCCUCGGGCCUCACACCAUCGGAUGUGCCCAGCGGGGAUUAGCUAGUAGGUGGGGUAAUGGCUCACCUAGGCGACGAUCCCUAGCUGGUCUGAGAGGAUGACCAGCCACACUGGAACUGAGACACGGUCCAGACUCCUACGGGAGGCAGCAGUGGGGAAUAUUGCACAAUGGGCGCAAGCCUGAUGCAGCCAUGCCGCGUGUAUGAAGAAGGCCUUCGGGUUGUAAAGUACUUUCAGCGGGGAGGAAGGCGGUGAAGUUAAUAGCUUCACCGAUUGACGUUACCCGCAGAAGAAGCACCGACUAACUCCGUGCCAGCAGCCGCCGCAG
rnacentral:rRNA from 1 species